AGAGUUGGACCUUUCAAAACAAUGUAUCCAUUUAUUCUUGGUGUUGUGAAAGGGGAGGCAGUUGUGAGCAAUAGACAUAGAGUUGAUUUGUUCAUAGAAGAAUUAUCUAGAGACUUUUUGGAUUCCAGAGAAACCUCUGGAGAAAGGGUAACCAAAAGGCAGAGCAGCCCCUAAAGGUAUGCUACUUCUAAUCAGCAGCUAUCAGCUUCAAUGCUACAACUGUUGUCAGUGUUCAGAAACUUUUGAUCGCAAGAUCUCUUCAAAGGUACAUAUAUGUGUGUACAUAAACAUCGUUAAAUUUUUUUGAUUAUGCACUUUGGCAUUGUUUGGGGUACUAGUGACUCAAAUGAAGAACCCCUUGUAACCAGUUAAUGUUGGUAAAGACUUGCUUUUUAAAGUUUGAUUAUGUCUUUGCAUUUUCAUCUUAAAAACUAUUCAGAGUUGCUUCUUAGAACGUGAUGAUACAUUUGUGGUAAUAAUCUCAUUGGAAGGUCUCUAAGUUGCAUA